GAUGAACGCUGGCGGCGUGCUUAACACAUGCAAGUCGAACGAAGCACUUAUCUUUGAUUCUUCGGAUGAAGAGGUUUGUGACUGAGUGGCGGACGGGUGAGUAACGCGUGGGUAACCUGCCUCAUACAGGGGGAUAACAGUUAGAAAUGACUGCUAAUACCGCAUAAGACCACGGAGCCGCAUGGCUCAGUGGGAAAAACUCCGGUGGUAUGAGAUGGACCCGCGUCUGAUUAGGUAGUUGGAGGGGUAACGGCCUACCAUGCCAACGAUCAGUAGCCGACCAGAGAGGGUGACCGGCCACAUUGGGGCUGGGACACGGCCCAAACUCCUACGGGAGGCAGCAGUGGGAAAUAUUGCAAAAUGGAGGAAACCCUGAUGCAGCGACGCCGCGUGAGCGAAGAAGUAUUUCGGUAUGUAAAGCUCUAUCAGCAGGGAAGAAAAUGACGGUACCUGACUAAGAAGCACCGGCUAAAUACGUG
rnacentral:rRNA from 1 species